rnacentral:rRNA from 1 species
CAAUAGCGUAUAUUAAAGUUGUUGCGGUUAAAAAGCUCGUAGUUGGAUUUCUGCUGAGAACGACCGGUCCGCCCUCUGGGUGUGUAUCUGGCUCUUUCUUGGCAUCUUCUUGGUGAACGUUGCUGCACUUGACUGUGUGGAGCGCUACCCAGGACUUUUACUUUGAGGAAAUUAGAGUGUUUCAAGCAGGCAUACGCCUUGAAUACAUUAGCAUGGAAUAAUAAGAUAGGACCUCGGUUCUAUUUUGUUGGUUUCUAGAGCUGAGGUAAUGAUUAAUAGGGAUAGUUGGGGGUAUUUAUAUUCCGAUGUCAGAGGUGAAAUUCUUAGAUUUUCGGAAGAUAAACUUAUGCGAAAGCAUUUACCAAGGAUGUUUUCAUUAA